rnacentral:rRNA from 1 species
AGUGAACGCUGGCGGUAGGCCUAACACAUGCAAGUCGAACGGCAGCUCCGUAAGAGCUUGCUCUUACGGGUGUCGAGUGGCGGACGGUUGAGGAAUACACCGGAAUCUACUUUUUCGUGGGUGCUAACGUAGGGAAACUUAUGCUAAUACCGCAUAUGACCUCCGUGUGAAAGCAGGCGAUCUUCUGACCUUGUGCUAUUGUAUGAGCCUAUGUCGGAUUAGCUAGUUGGCUGGGUAAAGGCCCACCACGGCGACGAUCCGUAGCUGGUAUGAGAGGAUGAAUAGACACACUGGAACUGAGACACGGUCGAGACUCCUAGGCGAGGAAGCGGUGGGGAAUAUUAGGCAGUGGGGGAGAGCCUGAUACAGGAAAACCGCGUGAGUGAAGAAGGACUUAGGCUGGUAAAGCGAUUUUGUUGGGAAAGAAAAGAAGCAGGUUAAUACGCCACUAUACUGACGGUACCCAAAGAAUAAGCACCGGCUAACUUCGUG